UGUAUGCAUUUCCUCAUAAUGAAUAACCAUCACGUAGACGAAGGGAUCAUCAGUAAAUUGUAAAAGAAAAUCGCAAAUGAUACCAAGACUGCUAAUAAGGCUGACUCACCAACCAAACGCCAAAUUUAGCAAAGAUGACAAACAUUUUCAUUGAUUGCUCUGAAAAGUGGCUAAUGAACUUGUAGUAUAUGUAUAUAUAUGUAUGUAUAAUUAGAUAGUUAAUAUAAUGUGUAAUUACGUAGGGCUGUUAUAGCCUAGAGGCCAGUGUAUUGUUCUAUUUGAAUCAAGUAUUGUAGUGUCCAGGUUCGAAGCAGGCCCAAACUGUACUCGGGCCAGACGUGGUUGGUGUCGGUAGUUCACCACCAGCUAUCCGACAAUAUACGUUGUCUGCCUCACGCGCUGUCUUUUUCUCCUGCCUCAAGACAAUACACUGGCGACGAGGAUUCAAGGCUUAGCUGGUUUAUCUCUACCAUGCCUGUUUACGGCCAGCUGGAAAAAUUCCAAGUGGGGCAAGACUGGGCACAGUAUGUGGCAGUGCUCAAGAACUACCUCCGUGCCAACAGCGUUACCGACGCUGUCAAGCAAAGGCAGAUACUGCUUGCCUCCGUAGGGAUGGAAACCUACCAGCUGAUGUGCACUCUACUGGCGCCUGACAGCCCGGAAUCAAAAUCGUUUGAGGAGUUGGUGUAGGCGGUUCAGGAUCAUGUCAAGCCACCCCCUAGCAGAAUAGCAGCACGCUACAAGUUCUACACGCUAUCACGCAAGGAGGGGGAGUCUAUCGCAGACUUCGUGGUGAAUCUGAGGAGGGCUGCUCAGGACUGCAAGUUUGAGGACUUGAGCGAAUACCUUCGUGACCGCUUCAUCGUUGCUGUUGGAGACAAAAUGAUACAAACCAAGUUGCUGUCCAUGGCUGAUGGCUGAUGAAGUAAGCUUUAAUGAAGCCCUACAAGCCCUACUAGCCAUGGAAUCUGAAGAACUGCAUGCUUCUAACAUACAGGCGGCUCAGGAGGCCGUCAAGGUUCCAGCAGUUAACAAGAUAACUACCGCGCCUCGGGGGCCAUGUUUUGGUUGUGGUGGUGACCAUUUACGCCGGAGUGUAAACAUAAGGACGCGGUCUGCAGCUCCUGUGGCAGGUCAGGACUCCUCAGUCGAGUGUGUCGCGCCUCUGACCGUGCUCGGCCCUCCAUCGUCCCUGCCAGGCGGAAGAACUACGCGAGGAAUAAAACCCAUCGCUCUACCUAUGUGAUCAAGGACAAGGAAGACUGAACUUCAUUGGGUGCUGACAGCAGCGAGGAUUCAGCACACCGGCCUGGAAGACAUCUUAACAGAGUAUGCGGAUGUGUUCACUUCAGGCUUAAAUGGUUGUCUCCUGUGGGGCUCCCGUGUGGUGGUGCCUGAUGGUUGUCGUGCAUCUGUACUCGAUAUGCUACACCACACUCACCUUGGUAUGACAAGAAUGAAGGCAACGGCACGUAGCUAUGUUUGGUGGCCAGGCAUCGAUAAGGAUAUUGAAAACGCCGUCAAAACCUGUCCAGAAUGCGAUGCCCUCCAAAAUGCUCCUCCCGUGGCUGAACUACAUCCGUGGGAAUGGCCUUCUACACCUUGGUCAAAAGUGCAUGUCGACCAUGCUGGCCCCUUCCUGGGUAAGAUUUUCUGAAUUCUUAUUGAUUCUCACUCAAAGUGGCUCGAGGUGAAGAUGGUUCCUGGCACCUCGACAGCUGCAACAGUGGACGCCCUUAAUACUAUCUUCGCCACUCAUGGUCUACCUGCAAUGCUCGUCACUGAUAAUGGUACUGCAUUCACCAGUGAGAGGUUCGGUAAGUAUUGCCUUGACAGCGGAAUACGGCACGUGAGAACAGCCCCACGACAUCCAUCUACAAAUGGGUUGGCGGAAAGGGCUGUUCAUAUAUUCAAAUCCAGCAUCAUGAAGAUAGGAGAGUCUCUCCCAUGGAAUGCGCGCAUCAACAAAUUCCUUUAACUUAUCACACAAUUCCCCAGAGUACCAGAUCUU
rnacentral:misc_RNA from 1 species